rnacentral:rRNA from 1 species
CCUGGUUGAUUCUGCCAGUAGUCAUAUGCUUGUCUCAAAGAUUAAGCCAUGCAUGUCUAAGUAUAAACAAUUAUACAGCGAAACUGCGAAUGGCUCAUUAUAUAAGUUAUCGUUUAUUUGAUAGUACCUUACUACUUGGAUAACCGUGGUAAUUCUAGAGCUAAUACAUGCUAAAAAUCCCGACUUCGGAAGGGAUGUAUUUAUUAGAUUAAAAACCAAUGCCCUCUGGGCUCUCUGGUGAUUCAUAAUAACUUCUCGAAUCGCAUGGCCUUGCGCCGGCGAUGGUUCAUUCAAAUUUCUUCCCUAUCAACUUUCGAUGUUUGGGUAGUGGCCAAACAUGGUUGCAACGGGUAACGGAGGGUUAGGGCUCGACCCCGGAGAAGGAGCCUGAGAAACGGCUACUACAUCCAAGGAAGGCAGCAGGCGCGCAAAUUACCCAAUCCCGAUUCGGGGAGGUAGUGACAAUAAAUACCGAUACAGGGCUCUUUUGGGUCUUGUAAUUGGAAUGAGUACAAUUUAAAUCCCUUAACGAGGAACAAUUGGAGGGCAAGUCUGGUGCCAGCAGCCGCGGUAAUUCCAGCUCCAAUAGCGUAUAUUAAAGUUGUUGUGGUUAAAAAGCUCGUAGUUGAACCUUGGGCCUGGCUGGCCGGUCCGCCUCACCGCGUGUACUGGUCCGGCCGGGCCUUUCCCUCUGUGGAACCCCAUGCCCUUCACUGGGCGUGGCGGGGAAACAGGACUUUUACUUUGAAAAAAUUAGAGUGCUCCAGGCAGGCCUAUGCUCGAAUACAUUAGCAUGGAAUAAUGAAAUAGGACGCGCGGUUCUAUUUUGUUGGUUUCUAGGACCGCCGUAAUGAUUAAUAGGGACAGUCGGGGGCAUCAGUAUUCAAUUGUCAGAGGUGAAAUUCUUGGAUUUAUUGAAGACUAACUACUGCGAAAGCAUUUGCCAAGGAUGUUUUCAUUAAUCAGGAACGAAAGUUAGGGGAUCGAAGACGAUCAGAUACCGUCGUAGUCUUAACCAUAAACUAUGCCGACUAGGGAUCGGACGAUGUUAUUUUUUGACUCGUUCGGCACCUUACGAGAAAUCAAAGUGCUUGGGCUCCAGGGGGAGUAUGGUCGCAAGGCUGAAACUUAAAGAAAUUGACGGAAGGGCACCACCAGGGGUGGAGCCUGCGGCUUAAUUUGACUCAACACGGGGAAACUCACCAGGUCCAGACACAAUGAGGAUUGACAGAUUGAGAGCUCUUUCUUGAUUUUGUGGGUGGUGGUGCAUGGCCGUUCUUAGUUGGUGGAGUGAUUUGUCUGCUUAAUUGCGAUAACGAACGAGACCUUAACCUGCUAAAUAGCCCGUAUUGCUUUGGCAGUACGCCGGCUUCUUAGAGGGACUAUCGGCUCAAGCCGAUGGAAGUUUGAGGCAAUAACAGGUUG